rnacentral:rRNA from 1 species
AUGGCGCCCUCCACCACCAUCGGUGCUGUCCCAGUCCCACGAUGUCCUGUUAUCUUCAACGGACAGAACUACAGGGACUGGGUGCAGCACAUGAAGCUGCACAUGAGGGGCCAGCUGGUCUGGGAGCACCUCUCUGGUGCUCUGCCUUGUCCCCUGCUGCCCACUCCUCCAGCUGAGUUGGCCUUCUCUAUUGAUGCCGAUGAAACCAAGCAACGUGAGAUGCUAGAUGCUUUUGAAGAGGCCACUGAAGAGUAUCAGAAUCAACUCCACUUAUACAAGCAAUGGACAAAUGAUGAUGCUCGAGCCUCUUCUAUCUUGGUGAACAGCAUGGAUGUUGAUCUCACCAUGGAUGUGGUGGCCCUUACCACUGCAUAUCAGAUGUGGGAGCACCUUCGCCAUCGCUAUGAGUCUACAGGGGAUGCCAUGUAUCUCUCUGUUGUUCGUCAAGAGCAACAACUACAACAGGGAGAUGCUACUGUGGAUGAUUUCUACAAGGAGAUGUCGGCGGUGUGGCGCCAAUUGGACUCUCUAGGAGCUGAUGUUUGUCGCAGAUGUCAGUGUUGUGUGCGGCAACAAGCUAAGCUGGAGGUUCGUCGCCUCUACAACUUCCUCAUUCGCCUCCGGCCGGAGUUCGAGCAGAGUCGUGCUCAGCUAUUGGCACGCCAUCCUCGGCUCUCUACUCUGGAGGCCCUUGCUGAGGUGCGAUCUGAGGAGGUGCGCCUACGGAGCACGGGCUUAUUGCCAUCCUCUUCAGCAGUCCUGGCUGCCCGCGUUCCACCACCGCUGCCUGGUGUGCCCUCUUCUACACAGGUGGCAGCAACCUCCACUAGUGCUUUCUGCAACUACUGCAAGCAGGAUGGUCACAUGAUCACGGAGUGCAUCAAGAGGAGGAAACAGGGUCGCCGUGGUGGCCGUCCUCAAAAGGACUCGGGAGGCUCCUCUAAUUCUCGUGAGGGCUCCCUUGAGAAGGUUCACCUGGUGAUCAUCUCCUGGUAUCUUGUUCAAGUGAUCACCUGA